rnacentral:rRNA from 1 species
AUUGAACGCUGGCGGCAUGCCUUACACAUGCAAGUCGAACGGUAACAGGUCUUCGGAUGCUGACGAGUGGCGAACGGGUGAGUAAUACAUCGGAACGUGCCUAGUAGUGGGGGAUAACUACUCGAAAGAGUGGCUAAUACCGCAUGAGAUCUACGGAUGAAAGCAGGGGAUCGCAAGACCUUGUGCUACUAGAGCGGCCGAUGGCAGAUUAGGUAGUUGGUGGGAUAAAAGCUUACCAAGCCGACGAUCUGUAGCUGGUCUGAGAGGACGAUCAGCCAAACUGGGACUGAGACACGGCCCAGACUCCUACGGGAGGCAGCAGUGGGGAAUUUUGGACAAUGGGCGCAAGCCUGAUCCAGCAAUGCCGCGUGCAGGAUGAAGGCCUUCGGGUUGUAAACUGCUUUUGUACGGAACGAAAAGCCCCGGGUUAAUACCCUGGGGUCAUGACGGUACCGUAAGAAUAAGCACCGGCUAACUACGUGCCAGCCGCCGCCGUAAUAC